AGAAUUGUAGGGGCUGAAAUUCUACGAAGACUCAGAAAUCAUGGUUAUUCCUCUCCGGAGAAUGACACCUGGGUAUAUAAGGUUGCUGCAGACUCAAGCUGCAGCAAAGAUCGUUACCAACCCGUCAGAUGCAGCGCUGCAGCGGGCAGCAUUGCUCCUGGGAAUGUUUGGGAUCAGCAUAUCCAGCUACAGCACACACCAGCUAACUCAAACAAAGAGAUUCCCCUUGACCACUUAAGCUGUGUUAGGAUGUGACCCAAGAAGUCCAGGCUUAUGUCAAUAUACUGCUGAUGAGUGGCUUUUCUGCUUCAGUUACCAGUGAGGAGGCAAUGAGACACUGCAGCCGUGAUUUCUACAUGCAAAGUUAAAUAGAUGGAAGAAUUGCAGACUUCAAGAAAGAAAAAAAUAACUGCUCUCAGAACCAUCGGAUUUCCAAAUGAGACAAACUUUCUGUAAAUAUUAUGGACUUCUUCUGUUAUCCAGUGUAUACACAGAGAUCUAAAGGUAUAAAAUACAGUUACAUUGAGAGUAGCUGUAAACAGACCAAUGUGGGUGCUGGGCUCUGGGAGUGUCACUGUGUUUCAGCUUUUGCAAAUUACUCCAAUGCAAAGACUGGUUUUGCAAAGAGGAAGUUAGAAGCAAUAUAUUCCUCGUGACAAGGGGUAGAACAAAUGAAAUUAAUCUCCCAUAGACUAUUUGCAGUGUACGUUUGGGUAUUACAGAAUCUGGGCACUCUAGCUUUUUCUAUUGAAUCUUAAACAUUUCUUGAUGCCUUUUGAGUAGCAAUGUUUGUGUAUUGUAACACAAGCUUGUAGCCUUCUGUCACAGCAGAGAUGGCCACAGGCUACACCAGCCAUAUGAGAAGGGCCUGUGACAUCAGACCAGAUAACUUCAUAGCUGUGCAGAAACUCUCUGUUCUAGAAAGUAUCAGUAAAAAUAUUGGGUUGGGUUCUAUUGCAGAGUUCAAUAUGUGGCUGUAUUCUUCUGCAAAGUCAACUCAUUCCAUAAUAUACAUUCUGAUUAAAAUAGAAAUAGAGUUUGACCUUUUCCCCCUACUUCUCCCUUGUUUUCUUCUCAUUUGGUGCAAUAGCUUAUUCAGGAAUGUUCUCUUACUAUUGGUUUGCAUUUUUCCAACUGUUUCUUAUCUUUUAUGUAAACAUGGCUUUGUAGGCUCUUCUGUCCAUAUGUUAGCAUUUAAAAUCCUUUGUUCUUGUUACUAAAUACAAAUAUUAUUUUGGGGUA